UACGUAGGGGGCUAGCGUUGUCCGGAAUCAUUGGGCGUAAAGAGCGUGUAGGCGGUCCGGUAAGUCCGCUGUGAAAGUCGGGGGCUCAACCCUCGAAUGCCGGUGGAUACUGUCGGGCUAGAGUGCGGAAGAGGCGAGUGGAAUUCCUGGUGUAGCGGUGAAAUGCGCAGAUAUCAGGAAGAACACCCGUGGCGAAAGCAGCUCUCUGGGACGGUACUGACGCUGAGACGCGAAAGCGUGGGGAGCGAACAGG
rnacentral:rRNA from 1 species